AGUCGAACGGCAGCGCGGGGCAACCUGGCGGCGAGUGGCGAACGGGUGAGUAAUAUAUCGGAACGUACCCAAGAGUGGGGGAUAACGUAGCGAAAGUUACGCUAAUACCGCAUACGAUCUAUGGAUGAAAGUGGGGGAUUCGCAAGAACCUCAUGCUCCUGGAGCGGCCGAUAUCUGAUUAGCUAGUUGGUGAGGUAAAGGCUCACCAAGGCGACGAUCAGUAGCUGGUCUGAGAGGACGACCAGCCACACUGGAACUGAGACACGGUCCAGACUCCUACGGGAGGCAGCAGUGGGGAAUUUUGGACAAUGGGCGCAAGCCUGAUCCAGCAAUGCCGCGUGAGUGAAGAAGGCCUUCGGGUUGUAAAGCUCUUUUGUCAGGGAAGAAACGGUUGGGGCUAAUAUCCCCGGCUAAUGACGGUACCUGAAGAAUAAGCACCGGCUAACUACGUGCCAGCAGCCGCGGUAAUACGUAGGGUGCAAGCGUUAAUCGGAAUUACUGGGCGUAAAGCGUGCGCAGGCGGUUUUGUAAGUCUGUCGUGAAAGCCCCGGGCUCAACCUGGGAAUUGCGAUGGAGACUGCAAGGCUUGAAUCUGGCAGAGGGGGGUAGAAUUCCACGUGUAGCAGUGAAAUGCGUAGAGAUGUGGAGGAACACCGAUGGCGAAGGCAGCCCCCUGGGUUAAGAUUGACGCUCAUGCACGAAAGCGUGGGGAGCAAACAGGAUUAGAUACCCUGGUAGUCCACGCCCUAAACGAUGUCUACUAGUUGUCGGGUCUUAAUUGACUUGGUAACGCAGCUAACGCGUGAAGUAGACCGCCUGGGGAGUACGGUCGCAAGAUUAAAACUCAAAGGAAUUGAC
rnacentral:rRNA from 1 species